rnacentral:lncRNA from 1 species
UCUGCAACCUACACCACAGCUCACGGCAACGCCGGAUCGUUAACCCACUGAGCAAGGGCAGGGACCGAACCCGCAACCUCAUGGUUCCUAGUCGGAUUCGUUAACCACUGCGCCACAACGGGAACUCCCCUAUCAUUUUUUUUAUUAGAAUCUACAUUAUGUUACUUGAAGCGAAAGGCAACAUCCUAAGUGAUACAGCAUCAUAGGCUUUUUAUUAGUAAUCCGGCAGAUCCAGCAAACGUAUUCCCAAACUUUAAUCCAAAUUUCUUUAGACCGCUGCCAAUGCUUGGAUGCUCCUUCAAAGUAUAGUGAGAGCCGCACAAGGCAGGCAUUGUCAGCCCUGAAGACAACUGUACAAGACAACCUCGAGAUGUUUCAAACUACGGUGAUUCCAUGACUGAGUGGCAGAAUAAACGCAACAACCCGCAUUUGGUGAUAAUAUUUAGUCAAAAAAGUCAUUUAUUUUGAGUCCGUCAUAAAUGUAAGUAAAACCAAAUGCUGAUUAAAGCCAUAGUAGGAAAAAUCUAUGAAUAUAAUCAUUAAUUACCUUCUUAGUUUUCGUUCAGCUGUCAAGAAAAAUGUAUUAGCUUAAAACCAUAUGUGAGGGUUGUUGGGCUAAAUUUGGACUCUGGUUUAUUUUCAUUCUAUCUCCUAGCAAGUGUUGAAAAUCAUUUUUGGACGACUUUCCAAAAUAUAACCUGUCUUUUAAGUUUUCAACAGGAAAUUGAAAUUUCACUCAAUGCAGCUCAGGUGAUGUUUUUCUUGAUUUUUCCAACAGUUUGGUCCUAACCUGGUGACUUUUUUUUAUUAGUGCAGACACUGGAUUGUGUAGUCACGGAUGGUCUGGGAAAGAGAAAACAAGGAACAUCAAGGCUCUAUCACUCCACUUUCCCACCAGAGGUCCUCGCCAGGGAGUCAUCUUUCAAAUAAGAAAACAAGAAAAUUUACAGUUCUGAUGACAAAGCACACCCUUAAACUCCAGAUGAGGCAGAGUCCUAUCUAAAUAUUCAGUCAACCAGAGGAAGUAUCAGAGUAUUCAUCUGCUCUCAAGCGGGGGAAGAAUGGACACAAAAUUAAAAGAAACUUUGAUAGAACAUAAGAAAUAUCACAGCACUAAAAUAUUUAUACUUUACGAGCUCCCCUGUGGCUCAGUCGGUUAAGGAUCUGGCAUUUUCACUGCCGUGGCUCUGGUUCCUACAGUGGCGAGGGUUAGAUCCCUGGCCUGGGAACUUCCACAUGACAUGGGUACAGCCCAAAACAAAAAACAAAGAACCAGGCGAGGCCAUGAGUAUCAAUUUUAGCUGAGGAGAAAAAAAGCAAAAUUCAAGCUACCAAAUAGCAUUUACCUAACAAAUGCCAAAAAUUGGGAGAGCACAGUGAACAUGGAGCCCCACCACUGAACAGCUGAUAAUAAAAAAUUAAGAUAUACGAAGUUUACCUAAAUUAUACAGGCAGCUAUUGGCAGAAGUAAAAAAUAAUAAAAUCAGCUACAAUGGAGUAUCAGAAGAAAUGAGGACACAAGUGAAAAUAUAUUAACUCUUACUGUUAUAAACAGUCAAAAGCUACUAUCUAAAGAAACAAUGGAUUCAAUGUAUACAGUUAUGGUUCUAAAAACAAGCCCUAGGGGAAAAAACAAAGAAAGGAAUUCAAAUUAUCAGAAAAAACACCUACGAAUACAUGUAACAAAAAGGUUAGAAGAAAGUUUUAAAAGGGACACCACCUCUACCAAGGAGAUGCUCUCCCUCCCUGCUGGAAACUCAGUCCUUUUCUCUCCCUCUUUAUACCCCUUUGAUUCUCAGUGAGAAUCUAUCACGUUUAAUACAACAGGUUCCCUGUCCUUUGCAUCAUAAUCACCACAUCCAGCAUUAGACACAGAUCAGCCAUCCAUGCGAGAUCUCAAUACAGGCCUGCAUCAAUGCUCCGGUUAACUUUUUUGGCUGCCAAGCUUUUAAAAAUACAAACAAAAAUCCACUUUUUUAAAUUAUAGUUGAUUUACGGCAGGGUGCUCCUUUCUGCUGCACAGCAAAGUGACCCCGUCAUACGUAUAUGGACAUUCCUUUCCUUAUAUCAUCUUCCAUCAGGCUCUAUCCCGAGACUGGACGCGGUUCCCGAUGCUGUGCAGCAGGACCUCAUGGCAUCUCCGUUCUAGAGGCAAUAAUCUGCAGCCACUAACCCCAACUCCCCAUCAGUCCCUCACCCCUUGGUGCCUAGUUCUUAAGUUAGGUCUCUGAAGAAACCUGUCAAAGAGCUCCUUUACAUCCCAAAAUAUUGUUCACUUGCCAAAAAAAAAAAAAAAAAGGUUGCAUUGUGAGAAUUGGGUUCUUCUUUCUAUAAAACUAAAGAGGGCAGUUGCAAAUCAAACCAAAUAAACCAGGUUCAUAUAAACCUUCCAAAUCUGCUCCAGUCACAUUAGCUACGUGUGUGUACAGGGACGUGCAUGCACACGUGUGUGUACAGGCACCUGCACGUGUUUGCUCCUUUCUAACUUAUAUACAGGAUGGCCUUGAACGAUGUAUACUCUGUAGCGAAAAUACAAUUGAGAUUUGGGAGCGUUAGCCAACUUGUAUUUAAAAAUAGUUUUUUGAAGGAAACAAUGUUUUGACUCCAAUUAUCCAAUUCCACAAGAGAAAGCAAAGAUGUAACUAAAAGCAAAUGUCACAUAAAGGGAGCCUGCAUCAAGAAAAAGACUCUGCUUAAAGCGAAGAGCAAACUCAAUUAUAUUCCCGACACAAGGGCAGCAAAGUGAUAAAGAAUGAUUGAAAAUAAAAGACGGGCCAAUGCUAUCAAGCAAUAGACACAGAACAAUGUUUACAUCCAGCAAGCUUGAAUUUGGGACAAAACUAUUACACAAGACAAGUACGGCUGUGCUUAUAAAAAUAACUCCACGAUCAGCUCUCCCAGUAAUUAAUAGCCAUGCAUCAAGUAAGAAAUCAUCAAAAUCACAAAGCAGAAGUACCAGGAAAGAAAAACACAUUUGUAAAAGAAAAUUUUAAUUUACCUCCCUCAGGUCAGAGCAAAAAAUGACUAAGGAUAUGGAUAAUAAAACAGCAAUCAGGACAAGGUAAGAUAGACUUAACUGCUAUAUAUCCAACUCCAUAAUCAGGAAACAAACUCUUUAUCUGGAAGGUAUACUAAAAAGUGACCACAAUAGAGCCCACACUGAAAUUAAAAUCUGAGUCAUCAACUCCCUUAUAGGAAACGGCUGUGGUAUUUGCAUGGAACCUACACCCGUCCUCUCAUACUUUAAACCGUCUCCAAAAUACUUAAAAUAACCAAUACGAUGUAAAUACUAUGCAAAUAGAUGCCUGCAUGGGGCACAUUCAAGUUUUGCUUUGUAAAGCUUUCUGGCAUUUUUCUCCCCCGCCCCCCAAAGUCUCGACCCCUGUGUGGGUGAACCUGCAGAGGCGGAAACCCAAGGAUAUGGAGGCCUCCUGCAAAAUCCAACCACGUGGGUUGUCUGGGAGGUUCCCCAAAAGCAGAACCUGAGAGAAGGAUGCGUUUGGGUGGGAAACUAGACAAACGCGAGGACCUGGGGAAGGGAGAGGGAGCACAAAGGAAAACCACGACGCGCGAUUUUUUUGUUUUGUUUUGUUUUGAGGCAGUCACGGGGGGCGGUGACUGGGUCUGAGCUUCGCUGGGGCCCCUCCGAAUGCACUUAAGCAUUUUUCCCACUGAGGGAAAGGUCCAUGGGGGAUUUACCAGUGGAUCCCUGUCUCCCCUAAAUUGAAGGCCCUUCUGGAGAACACGCCCUCCGGCCUUUCUGGCUGAGCUGCAGGCCUAAGGCCGUGGAGAAACGCCUUGGGCAGCGAAGAGGAAAGGCAGAGCAGACACCAUGGACAACCGUCCUGCAGACCAGCCCAGAGGACAGAGGAACGUGUGCUGGCCAGACACCAAGGUUGCCCAGCGUCACGCCCUUGGGGUAGUGGAUGGAGAGAGUGGAUGGAGCCAGCG